CUGUGCGUUGCACACGUAACUUAAGAAGGAAGCACCUUUAAAGCUUCUUUUUACUUAUGUAAUAGAUUAUACAUAUAUAUUGGAAUCAAAAACCAGUUGCUGGGAGUUGACCAAGUCAAUUUGCCGACCAAACUCGCAAGAGUCUUGAGUUUGCUAAAUUUCCGCGUCAUUGCUCUUUGCUGCAACAGAGGGUUCCAGAUAACUAUUUCUGCUAUAAAUUCUUGCAAAAGAGCAACGUUUCGGUAGGAGCAUCUCCCCCACCCCCACCCCCACCACUCUCUCCAGAUCUCCGAACCGAUCUUAGAUCGUUUGAGCUUUCAAUUUAUUCUUGGAUGAGAAAAGGAAGAGAAGCCCAAGCUAGUCUUCAACGUUCAAAGACUCGCGGUGGCAUCUCCAUUAAACAAAAGAGAUGAGGUCCUAAGUUCCGUAUACACAAUGAGAUGGCUAACUAGAUGAGGAAGAGGAGCCUAGUGUCAAAUCUAUGCAAGAUCAUUCAGCAGAGAAAGAGUAGGACAUGUCCUAAGAGACAUCAAAAACAAAGGGCAUCCUACAACAGAGGAAGACCGCACCAUAAACAAAUCCUGGAGCGAGGAAAACCACAGCUUCCCUAAGAGCAACCUGGAGCAAAAGAAAACCGCAACUUCGGCAGACGAUUCCACCAGCGAGCCCCAAAACAAGCCUGCUCGAAGCCAACAGAGGCGCCAGAGAAUGGCCCCAUGCCGACGAUCAACGAAAACCCAAUCCCCUUCGCAUCACCAGCUACCACUGUCACAACAGGCCAAGCGUUGGCACAAAGGAGGCUUAUCAGACCUAUACGACCAUAUAGACCAUAAAAUGACGAAAAAAGCCAUCCUUCAGGCCUUAUGUCUCCUUACACUCGUCUGGAUGACAGUUCCAUGCCAUAAAGAAAUCGAUUGUUUCCCUCAAGGCCAUCUAAAUAAGCCUCCACACAUUACACCAUAAUGACCAAAUUUUCCAAGUUUCAGAGCAUGCAAAGAAUAAAUGAUUUAUUAUUCAAUUAAACUUCUUAUGGCAGAGGACACAACUAGCCGAGUUGCUACACAACAACCCUCUUGUCACCAAGUCAUUUUUUAUAGAGAUUUUACCUUUAGGCGCUAGCCAACGAAACCCUCUAACUUUCAAAGCAAAAAACCCGAUCCAUAUCCAUUUUCGUAAGUCCUUAUUUACCCCAUUAUUACUCGCCACAAUUGUGUAGAAGAAUUUAGUCGAAAACAGACCUCUACUUGAGUUUGUCUUGCUAGUCUUCUCCAAGGAGGAUAUCUCUAAGGUCUGUUGCCAUCAAAACCAUUGGCUAGUUUUUCAAUUAAAAGUUCUCCUUCUAAGGCGAAAAUCCAACAGGCAAACAUUAUUGACCCGUGAUUCGACAUGUUUGGAGUGUCAACCUUGUUAACCUUAGGAUUGAAAACACGUGGAAAGGUAAUAUUAAGCGUCAGCCCAUAAUCCACUCAUCGUGCCACCACCACAAGGAGAUGUUACUAACAUCACUGACCAUGAAUCCCAUCUCUACAAACACAAAGCUAAAUUAUUUGUUAGUUGGGGAUAAAGGGCUCAGUAUGUUUUUCCAAUGUUUCUCCAUAGAGUGGGGACCUUCCUACGACCGUCAUCGUGUGGAAUCAAACCCAAAAGGUUCUUACCAUUCUUUUCCACCACCACGGAUCUCCAUAGGUUGUUAGGUUAGUCAUCAUAUCUCCAAAUCUACUUGUUAAGAAGAGUUUGAUGUUCACAGUCGAAAAUUCCUAAUCUGGAGUUCCUCACAAUCCUUGUGCAGGAAUAUAGACCCCAAUUAACAAAGUGAAUUUCCCUUCUCGCCUCAGCUCCACCCUAUAGAAAUUGCUAUUGAGAAUUAGGGAAGAGGGUUACAUAUGUAAAUGAGUUGCUACUAUAUAGAUAUUCGUGGAUAUUCAAUCCAAUAAUAUAGGGUUCAGGUAUCUUAUAUUUAGUUAUAGAAUGAAUUCAAGUAAGUCUUUAAUAUUCGACUCAAAAUUUGAUAGGUUUUAGAUAUCAUCCUUAUCCUAAACCUGAAUAUGAUUAUACAUAAAUAUUAAUAUUCUUGAUUAUACCUAUAUAUACAUAUAUUAAUAUUAUAAUAUGUUAUUUUAAAAAUUUGUAAUUUCUAUCCUUCAAAUCUUUAUCCUCUCUACCUUUAACACAACCUUUAUGCUCUUAACCAACGUUCUUUUUUGUAAACUAAUAAAUCUAAAAUUAAUUUUUUAUAUAGUUUUUAGUUAUUUAAAUUGUUGUUUUAAUUAUUUAAUUGAGUAUUUAAUGGAUUAGGGUAAUUAGAGGAUAAUGAUAUAUUAUUAAGGUUUGAUUUUAUAAAGAAUUUUCUGAUUUUAUUUGGGAUUUUAAUAAGA